rnacentral:rRNA from 1 species
GACGAACGCUGGCGGCGUGCUUAACACAUGCAAGUCGAACGGAAAGGCCCUGCUUUUGUGGGGUGCUCGAGUGGCGAACGGGUGAGUAACACGUGAGUAACCUGCCCUUGACUUUGGGAUAACUUCAGGAAACUGGGGCUAAUACCGGAUAGGAGCUCCUGCUGCAUGGUGGGGGUUGGAAAGUUUCGGCGGUUGGGGAUGGACUCGCGGCUUAUCAGCUUGUUGGUGGGGUAGUGGCUUACCUAGGCUUUGACGGGUAGCCGGCCUGAGAGGGUGACCGGCCACAUGGGGAUGGAUAUCGGCCCCAGCCUCCAGCGGGGGGAGGAGGGGGGGAAUAUGCAACAAGGGGGGGAACCCUAAUGCAGCACCGCGGGGUGGGGAAGGGCGGCCGUCGGUUGUUAAACCGCUUUCGCCUGUGAGGAGGGGGGGGGGAGGGGAGGGGGUAAAAAAGCCCGGUCAAACUCGGUC